CAGGUCCCGUCAAUUCCUUUAAGUUUCAGGGACCAACUCGCCCCCGCCUCUGGUUUUGAGUCUAUCCGAAAACCUAGGAAUCCGUAAAUAACAGUUUGUAGUUCGCCUGCUGCCUCCCGUAGGAGUACUCCUACGGGAGGCAGCAGUGGGGAAUUUUGGACAAUGGGCGCAAGCCUGAUCCAGCCAUUCCGCGUGAGUGAAGAAGCCCUUCGGGGUGUAAAGCUCUUUCGGCGGGGACGAAACGGUCCGUGACAACACCACGGACUAAUGACAGUACUCGCAGAAGAAGCACCGGCUAACUACGUGCCAGCAGCCGCGGUAAUACGUAGGGUGCGAGCGUUAAUCGGAAUUACUGGGCGUAAAGCGUGCGCAGGCGGUUUUGUAAGUCAGAUGUGAAAGCCCCGGGCUCAACCUGGGAACUGCGUUUGAAACUACAAGGCUAGAGUGUAGCAGAGGGGGGUAGAAUUCCACGUGUAGCAGUGAAAUGCGUAGAGAUGUGGAGGAAUACCAAUGGCGAAGGCAGCCCCCUGGGUUAACACUGACGCUCAUGCACGAAAGCGUGGGGAGCAAACAGGAUUAGAUACCCUGGUAGUCCACGCCCUAAACGAUGU
rnacentral:rRNA from 1 species